UUCAAACAAUAUUUAUUUUAAAAAAUAUUUUCAAUCUCUUAAUUUCUGAGUAACAAGUAGUAUUUCAUUUAAAAUAAAAAUUCAACAAUAUUUUACAUAAACCCUGUAAAAAACAUAAAUAUAAUAUGUAAAAACCAUUAAUAUUAAUUUAAUACUCCGACCACAAGAAAUAAUUUUCUUUUGUUAAAAUAAUUUUACCACUAAAAUGUUACCAAAAUGUAGAAAAGAAUAUAAUUGGCAAAACAUUGCAGAUUACCUACGUUAGUAUAAAUGUAUGAAGUUAUUUCAACGAUAAUUGUGUACCAUUGGGGUAAAUACUACAUAGAUAUUUUAUAAUUAACGCCUGCGUGUAUAACUAUUAUACAGUGUUGAGAAGGAACUGGUUCCAAAAGGAACGGAUUCCUGGAACGAGUUCUUUUUGAAGGAACGAUGCUAGGAACUGCUUCCUUUUAAAAUAAAGGAACGAGGAAAAUGAACAAAUUCCAUUUUUUAAGGAACGUGAACGGAAAUUACAGUUCCUAAAAUUUUUUAUAAACAUGUUUUAGUGUAGUUUUCUUCGUAUCUAGACAUUAAAAUAUUAUGGUAUUUUUAGUUGACUUUUGACAAUGGAAGUCCCCUAUAUACCCAGCCGAGAUCGUAGGCUGUUUAAAUGAAUCAAUUGAUUAUAGAUAGAGUUAUUAUCACAUAUAAGGAAUACUACAAAUUUGUUUUGUAUUCGACUGCUGAUGAAAAUCAUUGAUGACCGUUAUCAUGAUCUCAUUGCCACAAUUUUUUAAAUAACUUAUAAAAGGAACGAAGAGUGGAACGAGUUCUUAUUUUGGAGGAACUGGAUCUGGAACAAGUUCCUUCUUAAUAUAAAGAAUUAGGAUCUGGAACGAGUUCAUAUUUUAGAAAAUGAACGGGGAACGGAACGAGUUCCAUUUAAAAAGGAACUUUCCCAACAUUGCUAUUAUAGCAUCGUUUGAAUGCUUAAAGAAUGGGUUCCGAACUCCUGCAGUGGUUCCUUAAAACUUAACAACAAAAUAGAAAAUAAUAAUGAAUAAUCAUAAGAGUCCAUCUGAAUUAUCAUCAUGACCUUUAAGGGGGAUUUUUAAUGUUUUUUUACAUCUACAACUGGGUAUUUUAUGUACGAUGGGCGAUUGAGAGUUAUUAUAAUGUAAUGACACAUCUUCAUCAAAUCGUAUAGUAUGACGACGCAUAUUCACAUCGGUUGAAUGGUUAUGUCUUUUAGUAGAUUCUAGUAACUGUGAUGUCGUCUCUGUGAAUUUAAAUAUUAUUUUUAUAUUUUUA